rnacentral:rRNA from 1 species
ACGAACGCUGGCGGCGUGCUUCACCCAUGCAAGUCGAACGGAAAGGCCCUGCUUUUGUGGGGUGCUCGAGUGGCGAACGGGUGAGUAACACGUGAGUAACCUGCCCUUGACUUUGGGAUAACUUCAGGAAACUGGGGCUAAUACCGGAUAGGAGCUCCUGCUGCAUGGUGGGGGUUGGAAAGUUUCGGCGGUUGGGGAUGGACUCGCGGCUUAUCAGCUCGUUGGUGGGGUAGUGGCUUACCAAGGCUUUGACGGGUAGCCGGCCUGAGAGGGUGACCGGCCACAUUGGGACUGAGAUACGGCCCAGACUCCUACGGGAGGCAGCAGUGGGGAAUAUUGCACAAUGGGCGGAAGCCUGAUGCAGCAACGCCGCGUGCGGGAUGACGGCCUUCGGGUUGUAAACCGCUUUCGCCUGUGACGAAGCGUGAGUGACGGUAAUGGGUAAAGAAGCACCGGCUAACUACGUG